AGGUAACACCUGAACUGUCCUUACAGGUAGACUUUUUUUUUUUCAUGUUCAAAUGGAGUGAAUUCCUGGCUGAUUCUAUUAACAGUGACAAAUUGAAGCCUCAUUAAGAAGACGGUUUAACAUCAUCAUAUUAGAGAAUUGCUUCACAAACCCAUGCCUAAUGAAAUCCUUGGAAACCGGAGUGGAAUCAUCAUGAUUAUCUUAGGUUAAUCAUGAUUUAUCCUGUUGUAGAGAGCUCUUUCCCUGGCUGAGCACAUGGCCAGAGGAAGGGUGAAGAUUUGAAUGCUGUGUUACUAAGGGGAAAGACAUGAACCAGAAGGCUACUCUGCCCUUCUCAUUAUUAAGAUCCAAGGAUGAGGACCAAAAGGUUCUGCAGGCUGCUUCUGGGACUCCAUCAUUUCAAGAUUGUCCUAAAGCUUAAAACAGACUCUAAAUCUUCCUAAGCCACAAGGAUAUGAACAGACACUUCUCAAAAGAAGACAUUUAUGCAGCCAAAAGACACAUGAAAAAAUGCUCAUCAUCACUGGCCAUCAGAGAAAUGCAAAUCAAAACCACAAUGAGAUACCAUCUUACACCAGUUAGAAUGGCAAUCAUUAAAAAGUCAGGAAACAACAGGUGCUGGAGAGGAUGUGGAGAAAUAGGAACACUUUUACACUGUUGGUGGGACUGUAAACUAGUUCAACCAUUGUGGAAGCCAGUGCAGCGAUUCCUCAGGGAUCUAGAACUAGAAAUACCAUUUGACCCAGCCAUCCCAUUACUGGGUAUAUACCCAAAGGACUAUAAAUCAUGCUGC